AAAUUGAAGAGUUUGAUCAUGGCUCAGAUUGAACGCUGGCGGCAGGCCUAACACAUGCAAGUCGAACGGUAACAGGAAACAGCUUGCUGUUUCGCUGACGAGUGGCGGACGGGUGAGUAAUGUCUGGGAAACUGCCUGAUGGAGGGGGAUAACUACUGGAAACGGUAGCUAAUACCGCAUAACGUCGCAAGACCAAAGAGGGGGACCUUCGGGCCUCUUGCCAUCGGAUGUGCCCAGAUGGGAUUAGCUAGUAGGUGGGGUAACGGCUCACCUAGGCGACGAUCCCUAGCUGGUCUGAGAGGAUGACCAGCCACACUGGAACUGAGACACGGUCCAGACUCCUACGGGAGGCAGCAGUGGGGAAUAUUGCACAAUGGGCGCAAGCCUGAUGCAGUCAUGCCGCGUGUAUGAAGAAGGCCUUCGGGUUGUAAAGUACUUUCAGCGGGGAGGAAGGGAGUAAAGUUAAUACCUUU
rnacentral:rRNA from 1 species